rnacentral:tRNA from 1 species
AAUAUGGCAGACUUAAGUGCAAUAGAUUUAAACUCUAUAAAUAAAGAUUUCUUUUAUUAUUA